rnacentral:rRNA from 1 species
AGAGUUUGAUUAUGGCUCAGGAUGAACGCUAGCUACAGGCUUAACACAUGCAAGUCGAGGGGCAGCAUGACGAUAGCUUGCUAUUGUUGAUGGCGACCGGCGCACGGGUGAGUAACGCGUAUCCAACCUGCCCUUGUCCAUCGGAUAACCCGUCGAAAGGCGGCCUAACACGAUAUGCAGUUCUCCGCAGGCAUCUAACGAGAACGAAAUGUGAAGGAGAAGGAUGGGGAUGCGUCUGAUUAGCUUGUUGGCGGGGUAACGGCCCACCAAGGCGACGAUCAGUAGGGGUUCUGAGAGGAAGGUCCCCCACAUUGGAACUGAGACACGGUCCAA